rnacentral:lncRNA from 1 species
AACAGCGGACAUGGUAUCUGCAGUAUUAAACUUCUUCUCUGAGAUCUCAUCCCUUCCUGCUAUGAAGGACUGGCUCGGUGGUGCUGAUGGUAACAUAUUCUGGCCAGUAGUUCUCACUAUGUUGUGAAAUACACCUUUACACAGUCCAAUAUCUGUGACAGCAUUUCCACAGAAGUUUGAGUUAAUAUCAGCAGAAGAGAGAGCGUGUAUAGAGACAGCUUCUGUGAAGUUUUUCCGCAGUGUGAUAUCUUGUCAUGUACCCAAUCAGAUGUUGUUUGCUAAAGUUCUUUAUGAUGUCAUCAAAGAACAGGGCUCAACUAACAAAGCUUCCGGUUUAGGUAUCUGCCCAUUGUCUGGGUUUACAAGAUGACUUUUCCUUCAAGUUCUGCUGAAAGAUGAGAACAUUCUAGUCGCAUUCCGGGCUGCACCCAAACAAGAUCACAUCCAUGUGCCCAUGUCUCAGUGCAUUUUGCAGCACCCACAGUUUGGGGCUGGACGAAGGUUUAGGACAAUGCUAGUCAAUAUGCAUGUAACUG